rnacentral:lncRNA from 1 species
AUCUUUACCUUAAACGAGUUUAACUUAAAUGUUCUUAACUUAAGGUAGUGCGAACGGGGUAUUACGCUCCUUAGUCAUAUUGCAAGACGAAACCUUUUCUACAAACCAAAUAUGCUAAGUCAAAUUAAUCCUCUAGCGUAAUAAUUUAUAGUUAAUUUUAAUAGUUUUAAUAUUUUAAAUCGAGGUCAUAUCACAAUCUAUUGAAACUUUAUCAUCUUCAGACUUCAUUCGAAACUCACAAGAGAAGAGCACAAACAUACACAAUCUUCCCGACUACAAAACCGAGGAUCGGAAGAUCUCUGUUUUUUUAUCCAAUAUAGCUUCGUGCGGCUCAAGAGAUAUUCAUAGACAGCGUUGGGGAUGGUAUGAGCCGACUGCAUUAAUCAGUCGGACUCUUCAGCCCAAAUUCCACGGUUGCAUUUCUCUGUGGGAAGCUUCCUACCAUGAUCGUAAAGAGGACAGUUCCUGUCAGCCUGAAGCGACCACUACUCGGACUGACACCGUUGAGACUUCUAUCCUUCGGCUAUUCAUCCCUUCAAUAUAGUACGCUCUGUUGGAAUUUGACUCUUAGAGGAUUCGUAUCUCGCGCAGAGCAUACGGCGGACUAAUUCUUAAUCUCAAUCUGCAGGGAUUGGACAGUCGACUUGCGAUCCGCAGGGCAUUCCAUCAGCAAGUUACAAAUGCAGUCAUGCUCAGUGUUCCUAAUGGUUGCACUUGUACAACUUGGCACAAUAUCUAGACUACCCGAUUAUCCGUGCAGUAGCGUCUAGCAAUAUCGGAUAAGCAGACAGUGGCCGCGCUUAUCCGAUAUUGCUAGACGACUGUACUGAAAGUAAUCUGAAGUCCGGAAAGGAAUAGCUUUUGCUUGAACGUACUUCAUAGAAGACCAGAUUCUCCAAAGCCUGGCUCAUCUGCGCCUUGGAGACGAUAGCGUUCCUCUGGAAUGUUUCAAGCUCCCACAACGGCGCAUUCCCAGACUAAUCCUAUUUGAUGUUCCGCGAGACAUCAAUAAAGUGCUCUGUUGUCGGCCGGAUUGGCCGCAUGGAAACGCUUCAGAUUUCCACUCUAGAGGACCCAAGUUCGGGUUUUGGGUCGCAUUCCUUGAAAAUGUUUAUCAUGGGAUCCGGGCCCGGUCCGUCGAUCCCCGUUCUCCAUAAUUCGACUGACCCUCUACAGGGGUGGGCAGCCUGUGGAAGGAUUGUUUCGCCCGCCACUUAGUAUUCUUCCAAAAUGGAAAGUGGCGUCAUCUAUUGACAAAAAAGGAUGCUCUGUUAACC